ACGAACGCUGGCGGCGUGCUUAACACAUGCAAGUCGAACGGUGAAGCGCCUUUCUUUUUGGUGGGUGUGGAUGAGUGGCGAACGGGUGAGUAACACGUGAGUAACCUGCCCCCUUCUUCUGGAUAACCGCAUGAAAGUGUGGCUAAUACGGGAUAUUCUGGGUCUGUCGCAUGAUGGGUCUGGGAAAGAUAUUGUUUCGGUGGGGGAUGGGCUCGCGGCCUAUCAGCUUGUUGGUGGGGUGAUGGCCUACCAAGGCGGUGACGGGUAGCCGGCCUGAGAGGGUGGACGGUCACACUGGGACUGAGACACGGCCCAGACUCCUACGGGAGGCAGCAGUGGGGAAUAUUGCACAAUGGGCGCAAGCCUGAUGCAGCGACGCCGCGUGAGGGAUGGAGGCCUUCGGGUUGUGAACCUCUUUCGCCAGUGAAGCAGGCCUGCCUCGUUUGUGGGUGGGUUGACGGUAGCUGGAUAAGAAGCGCCGGCUAACUACGUG
rnacentral:rRNA from 1 species